AUCUCCGGCCAUGGCACCAUGAAUGUGCUCGAUCUCAUCUGAUCUCAGAAUCUAAGUAGGGUCGGGCCUGAUUAGUACUUGGAUGGGAGACCACCUAGGGAGACCAGGUGCUGUAGGCG
rnacentral:rRNA from 1 species